CUAGGAGUUGGAAUAGGAGCUUG
rnacentral:piRNA from 1 species